ACGGAAUAGAUACCCGGGUAGUCCACGCCCUAAACGAUGUCUACUAGUUGUCGGGGAUUCAUUUCCUUGGUAAACGCAGCUAAACGCGUGAAAGUAGACCGCCUGGGGAGUACGGCCGCAAGGUUAAAACUCAAAGGAAUUGACGGGGACCCGCACAAGCGGUGGAUGAUGUGGAUUAAUUCGAUGCAACGCGAAAAACCUUACCUACGCUUGACAUGCCAGGAACUUUCCAGAGAUGGAUUGGUGCCCGAAAGGGAACCUGGACACAGGUGCUGCAUGGCUGUCGUCAGCUCGUGUCGUGAGAUGUUGGGUUAAGUCCCGCAACGAGCGCAACCCUUAUCCUUAGUUGCUACGCAAGGGCACUCUAGGGAGACUGCCGGUGACAAACCGGAGGAAGUGGGGAUGACGUCAAGUCCUCAUGGCCCUUAUGUGUAGGGCUUCACACGUCAUACAAUGGUCGGUACAGAGGGUCGCCAACCCGCGAGGGGUAGCCAAUCCCAGAAACCGAUCGUAGUCCGGAUUGCAGUCUGCAACUCGACUGCAUGAA
rnacentral:rRNA from 1 species